GAAGCAAAUACAAAGAAUUUUGAUUUGCAGUUUUGUUGAAACCUCCAUACCCUUUUUUUAAUUAAUUUAUUAUAUCUUUGUAAAACUUUGGAUAGGUUUAUUUUGCUAAAGAAAAGUCCUCCAUUGAUCACAAUCAUGCCUUUUUUGGCUAACGAGGAAGAGGAAGAAACAUGCAUGGAGAAGAGGAAACUUCAGAGGACGUGAUCCAAAUACUUUUAUACAAAAUCAUCCAAACAACAACAACAGUAAUUAUCAUGCCUCAAAUUCUAC
rnacentral:lncRNA from 1 species